CAGACAAAUCAACAAACAAUAGCAACAAAAUGACAGCAAACCUGGAAGAACUAUAUUUUCUCCUCUUUAUUUUAAAGUGGGACAUCAUUCGACACGAUUCAAAUCAAAGAGGUACAGGGGAAAAUUUGUGGAAAAUUUCUACAAACCUGUUUUCUGAUCAUUCAGGAGCCUCCCUUUCUCUGCAACAUUUUCCUCUCUCCUCUCUGCAAGAUGCAGAUUACUGGCUGGAGAUGAAGCCGUCAUUUUGAGACUACAACUCGGUUAGAAACACCAAACCUAGUGAAGCAGAAUGCAGCAGAGACUAGUUAGAGGUGAGAGGUGUCUGAGAGCUGCUACCUGCACUGCCCACCUUUGGGUACAGGAGGAGAAAUGGCUGUUCGGCUGAGACUCUUAAUGUGGUUUCCUUAGCUUGCAGCUGAAUAGGAUCACUGAUUAGUAUAGGAUUUGAGCACUGGACUCAAAUGGUGAAUAACACUUUAACAAGAACUAAAGUGCAUCAAGGUACGGCAGCCUGAGGAGCAGAGCUGAGCAGGAGGAGAAUCUCAAUGCACAUAAUCCAGAAUCGAUUCACUAAUGUCCUCGAGCUCACUCUGCAGCCAAGGAUGAGUUUGAACUUCUGAUGCUCUUGCCUCUACUUCUGGAGUGGUGGGGUAACAAGCAAGUGUCAGCACUUGGACUCUUGAAGGCAUAUGAACCCCAGAAACAGCUGUCACUUGAAGACCUCGAAACAACAGCUGAGGAAAGCCUGAGAGGAUACAGAGGUUUUGACUGUUAUCUGCAGUGAAGGACAGCCGGACUUCAGAAAACAGAACUCUAACUGUAUUAGUCAAUAUUCACGGAUUUUGUUUUACUUACAGUUCCUGCCUCCAGUUCCUGCCUUGGCUUCCCCUGAAGAUGGACUGUCAACCUAUAAGCCACAGAAUACCCUUCCCUUCUCAAAGUUUGUUUUGGUCAGUGUUUUAUCACAGCAAAAGAAAUCACACUAGAACAAUCACCUUCCAAUCGUGGUAUUGUAAACUUUACACCAAUGGCUCCCAAACCCAACUGCAUAUUUGUGUGAUGAGGCCUAUGUAAAGCAACGCCAGAACCCCACCUCAACUGUACUGAAUUGGAAUCUCCCAGACUCAGGUUAUGAAGCACGCCAGAGUCACAUGGUGAUUAAUUUUGUCCUCAGCUGACCCCAUGCCACCCUCUGCUUGAGACAAAGGUGGAAAAUUAAGAAAGUGCUCCCUUUCAUGGCUUUGUGAGGGUAGAGUCUGAUAGCUGCAUGCCCUGAGAGUGUUCCCUUAAUUUCACAUCCUAAACACCUCAUUUGGCCUCAUCCAGUCUCUACUCCAAUUCAAAUAAUGUAAACUUAGCAAAUAGAACCUGUCGUUUGUCAUACACAGAAAUCUGAGCCAAACUGUUGUUCACAAAUAAAUA